rnacentral:rRNA from 1 species
UUCAGACGAUGCGUCAUGCAUAUCAAUAAGCGGAGGAAAAGAAACUAACAAGGAUUCCCCUAGUAACGGCGAGUGAAGCGGGAAGAGCUCAAAUUUGAAAUCUUAAAGGGUUUCCCUUUACGAAUUGUAGUUUAAAGAAGUGUUUUCUGUUGAGGUUUUGGUAAAAGUUCUUUGGAAUAGGACAUCAUAGAGGGUGAGAAUCCCGUAUUUGACCUUUACUUUCAACUUUGUGAUACACUUUCAAAGAGUCGGAUUGUUUGGGAAUGCAGUCCAAAAUGGGUGGUAAAUUUCAUCUAAAGCUAAAUAUUGGCGAGAGACCGAUAGCGAACAAGUACCGUGAGGGAAAGAUGAAAAGAACUUUGAAAAGAGAGUUAAACAGUACGUGAAAUUGUCAAAAGGGAAGCGUUUGACACCAGUGUUGUUUUUCUGAAAAUCAAUUAAAGAACUGUUUAUGCUAAGCUGUUUAGACUUUAUCAGCUAUCUGUUUAGUUUUGAGCUUUUCUUUAAUGCACUUUUCAGUUAACAAGUCAACAUCAAUUUCUUUUGCUGUAAAAAAGCUUGAGGGAAGGUGGCUUGAGAUUCGUCUUAAGUGUUUAUAACCUCUUGCCUAUGCAGUCGGAGAGAUUGAGGUCUGCAGCGUAGAUCCUUCGGGGCUAAAUGCAUUUGUGCUAAGUUAUAGCAUUUUAUAGACAACUUGUUGACUAUGAUUUGUCUUGUAGCUUACUCGCUUAUGUUAUUUUACCUACGCUUAGGAUGUUGAGCGCAUGUCUCUCUCU